UACGAAGGGGGCUAGCGUUGCUCGGAAUCACUGGGCGUAAAGGGUGCGUAGGCGGGUCUUUAAGUCAGAGGUGAAAUCCUGGAGCUCAACUCCAGAACUGCCUUUGAUACUGAGGAUCUUGAGUACGGGAGAGGUGAGUGGAACUGCGAGUGUAGAGGUGAAAUUCGUAGAUAUUCGCAAGAACACCAGUGGCGAAGGCGGCUCACUGGCCCGUUACUGACGCUGAGGCGCGAAAGCGUGGGGAGCAAACAGGG
rnacentral:rRNA from 1 species